rnacentral:rRNA from 1 species
AUUGAACGCUGGCGGCAGGCCUAACACAUGCAAGUCGAACGAGUGGCGGACGGGUGAGUAAUGUCUGGGAACCUGCCUGGUGGCGGGGGAUAACUACUGGAAACGGUAGCUAAUACCGCAUACCAUCAGAUGGGCCCAGAUGGGAUUAGCUUGUUGGUGGGGUAACGGCUCACCAAGGCGACGAUCCCUAGCUGGUCUGAGAGGAUGACCAGCCACACUGGGACUGAGACACGGUCCAGACGCCUACGGGAGGCAGCAGUGGGGAAUAUUGCACAAUGGGGGAAAGCCUGAUGCAGCCAUGCCGCGUGUAUGAAGAAGGCCUUCGGGUUGUAAAGCACUUUAAGUUGGGAGGCGUUAUCAACAGAAUAAGCACCGGCUAACUACGUGCCAGCAGCCGCGGUAAUAC